AGUAUUGAAACAUAAUUUAAUGUAUUUAGUUUCGACCUAAAAAAAGAUAUAAAAUAUCCAUACUU
rnacentral:tRNA from 1 species